rnacentral:rRNA from 1 species
AGCGGCGGACGGGUGAGUAACACGUGGGUAACCUGCCCAAGAGACUGGGAUAACACCUGGAAACAGAUGCUAAUACCGGAUAACAACACUAGACGCAUGUCUAGAGUUUGAAAGAUGGUUCUGCUAUCACUCUUGGAUGGACCUGCGGUGCAUUAGCUAGUUGGUAAGGUAACGGCUUACCAAGGCAAUGAUGCAUAGCCGAGUUGAGAGACUGAUCGGCCACAUUGGGACUGAGACACGGCCCAAACUCCUACGGGAGGCAGCAGUAGGGAAUCUUCCACAAUGGACGAAAGUCUGAUGGAGCAACGCCGCGUGAGUGAAGAAGGGUUUCGGCUCGUAAAGCUCUGUUGGUAGUGAAGAAAGAUAGAGGUAGUAACUGGCCUUUAUUUGACGGUAAUUACUUAGAAAGUCACGGCUAACUACGUGCCAGCAGCCGCGGUAAUACGUAGGUGGCAAGCGUUGUCCGGAUUUAUUGGGCGUAAAGCGAGUGCAGGCGGUUCAAUAAGUCUGAUGUGAAAGCCUUCGGCUCAACCGGAGAAUUGCAUCAGAAACUGUUGAACUUGAGUGCAGAAGAGGAGAGUGGAACUCCAUGUGUAGCGGUGGAAUGCGUAGAUAUAUGGAAGAACACCAGUGGCGAAGGCGGCUCUCUGGUCUGCAACUGACGCUGAGGCUCGAAAGCAUGGGUAGCGACAGGAUUAGAUACCCUGGUAGUCCAUGCCGUAAACGAUGAGUGCUAAGUGU